rnacentral:rRNA from 1 species
UACGUAGGGUGCGAGCGUUGUCCGGAAUUAUUGGGCGUAAAGGGCUCGUAGGCGGCUUGUCGCGUCGGGAGUGAAAACACUGGGCUUAACUCAGUGCUUGCUUCCGAUACGGGCAGACUAGAGGUAUUCAGGGGAGAACGGAAUUCCUGGUGUAGCGGUGAAAUGCGCAGAUAUCAGGAGGAACACCGAUGGCGAAGGCGGUUCUCUGGGAAUGUCCUGACGCUGAGGAGCGAAGGUGUGGGGAGCGAACAGG